rnacentral:rRNA from 1 species
CCUACGGUGGGCAGCAGUAGGGAAUCUUUCACAAUGGGCGAAAGCCUGAUGGAGCAACGCCGCGUGCAGGAUGAAGGCCUUCGGGUUGUAAACUGCUUUAGGCGGGGAGCAAUGCCGGGCACGCGUGCCCGGAGGGAGAGUACCCGCAGAAUAAGCAUCGGCUAACUCCGUGCCAGCAGCCGCGGUAAUACGGAGGAUGCGAGCGUUAUCCGGAUUUAUUGGGUUUAAAGGGUGCGUAGGGGGGUUUUUAAGUCAGUGGUAAAAUGUUCGGGCUCAACCCUGGCCGGCCGUUGAAACUGGGGGUCUUGAGUGGGCGAGAAGUAGGCGGAAUGCGUGGUGUAGCGGUGAAAUGCAUAGAUAUCACGCAGAACUCCGAUUGCGAAGGCAGCAUACCGGCGCCCGACUGACGCUGAGGCACGAAAGCGUGGGGAUCGAACAGGAUUAGAUACCCCUGUAGUC